UACGUAGGUGGCAAGCGUUGUCCGGAUUUACUGGGUGUAAAGGGCGUGCAGCCGGAGAGGCAAGUCAGAUGUGAAAUCCGCGGGCUCAACCCGCGAACUGCAUUUGAAACUGCUUCCCUUGAGUAUCGGAGAGGUAACCGGAAUUCCUAGUGUAGCGGUGAAAUGCUUAGAUAUUGCGCAGAACUCCGAUUGCGAAGGCAUCUCACGAAUCCGCGAUUGACGCUGAUGCACGAAAGCGUGGGUAGCGAACAGG
rnacentral:rRNA from 1 species